rnacentral:lncRNA from 14 species
GGGGGGUUGUUUGUUGACAUUAUGCAAGCGCUGAAAUAUUUUUCGUUUACUUCUCUCCCGUCCCUUUUUUCCUUUCUCCCCCUCUGUCCUCUGGGGGUAGCAAAGGUAGUUCAAACCCCUCCAGUCAUCCCGGCUUAUCAGCCAAAGGAGAUGCAUUCCUCUGGGCUGCUCCCUUUAUAAGUCACUGCUGGCGGGGCGCCCACUCGACGCUCCACAGCCUCCGCAUCGGCAGCGCUGCCUGCUGCCCCGCCAUGCCCUAGCCCGGGCCCCGGCCCCUUUCGCCCACCGGGGGAAGCGCAGCAGCCCGGGGGAGGGCCGGCGGCGAUGGCACCCCCGUUCCACGCCCGCCUCUGAGGGCGGCUGCUGCCGUGAUGUUCAGCUGGCACCGGAGCUUCACCCUCGGAGCGCCGUGGAGGAGAGGUAAGAAAAGCCCACCUGCUGAAGACAAAGUUGUGUUAACACAUAUGAAGAUAUUGAGCAAUGAAGGAAUUCAAAACCCAGGGUUAAUCACAGAGGCUGCAGCUGACACAGCCUGCACAGAAGAGUCCCAUCUCCCUGAUGCCAGCCUCCCACUGAACUGCCAGGGAAAUCCAAAUGCAGCAGCCGAACCAGCAGAUCCAGACUAUGCAGAUGCCCCAGCAAGCACAGACUAUGUAGCCACGCUGCCUGACCUCAGUGCCUUCCAGUCCAAGUGCCGACUUCACAGAUUCUCCAAAUUCGAAUCUGAGGACUCAGGGGUUGAAUUGCCAAGUGGGGCUAAUUCUCCAUCAACACCAACCGGUUCAGAGAAGAGCUUUGUGCUUCACAGCAGAGACUCAUUUUGUGACUCGGGUGUGCUUAGCACCUCAUCUUCUCCAGAAAUUGACCAUUUGGUAAUGAGAACAUGUAAAGAGGAUGCCAGAAAAGUCAGCCACCAAGACCCAGACAGUGAAAAGCAAACUGAGUACUACAGCCAGGAGGCAGAUGCUGUGCAGGGUCCUACAGCUUCCGUCGAAGACUUAUGUGUCCCUCAGGAAGAAAAUCCAGAUGAACAUUUUGACCAGAGCGAAAGUCAGUCUCUGGAAGAGGAACUCACCCCAGAGACAGACCCUUCCAGGGAAAGCAUUCUUCACACCUCAGAUCCCAUAGAAAAGCCAAAGACAACUGCUGACAAUUUCCCAGAGAACUUUGGCAGCAUGCAAGACCUCCAGAUCCAUGGCCAUCAGCUAAAGAAGUACCCCACAAGCGACAGUCUAGAUGAAUACAUGGAUAAAUGCUGUAGACUGAGUGAGGUGAACCAAGGUAACAGCAAAGCCCUAGGCUCUGGUCUGGGAUACCUGGAACACAUUUGUCAACUGAUUGAGAAGAUUGGGCAGCUGCAGGAGCACAACAUGCGUCUCCAAAAGCAAGUUUGCAGCUUGCAGAAAGAGCAGAAGAUCAGCCAGAUAAAAGAGGAGUACAUUCUUCAGCAUUGCUCCUGUGGAGCUGCCAGUGUCCUCAACUCACACCAAGACAUGAAGACAUCUUUUGCUGGGAGGAGCAGACCUCACAGCCUUUUAGUUCAGACUGGAAACCCAUCCGAUCUUUCCAUCAUCCCAGAAAUAGGAGCAAACACUGAAAAGCUGAGCAGCUGCAAUGGAAGUGAGAGAUACCCAGAAUCAGGAAACAGCCAACCAAUGGUGGGACUCAGGAAGUUGUCAAACAAUAGGAACAAGGAGAAUGAGUACAGAGAAGCUGGUAAUAUGACUGAGGUACAGGCUUUUCCAUCAAAGGACCCUGCAGUAAGAAAGGGUCUGGACGUCAGCAAAAACAUCUCGGGUGAGAGCCAUGCUUGGGGGAGAAUGAAAGAUCUUAUGAGGAAGACACGUCUGAGAAACCAGAACAAGCUGGGUCUGUCCUCUGCCGCUCUGAAGAGGUCCUGUCCACAGCUGUACAGGCCAGAUAUUAUGUCUUCAGAGCUAAGGAAAACUGAGAGGAACUCCAUGAUCGUUCUGGGACAAAAUACAAAGAAUGAAAACAUAUGGCCUUUCUGAUAACCUGAGUAGAACAAGAAAGGCAAAAUGGAACACCAGUGGACACAAACCCAAGAACCCCAAGGUUACUUUGCGCAACCUGCAUCCUGCAGUUGUCAACAGAGCAACUCCACUUUGAGUAUUGGAAGGGAAGGAGAGAAGGGGGAGGUAGAGAAGGAUGUGUGGACUUUUCUAUGCUCAGCUAUGCACAGUUUUGCUCCCGAAUCUGAAAUACAGUCACAGAAGUCAAGCCACAGAUGAAAAUUGUUGUUAGUGUCUGGACAAUGUAAACGAUAGAGAUAUGGAAACUCUUCCUCCUCCUCUCUGGGUUAGAAACACCAUUACUGAAACAUUGAAGCUUUUAAAUUGUCAUAGCUUUCUGGGGACCUUCUCCAACUGAAAUACAUUUAAACUUUAUGGGACACAGCAGCAUCUAGAAGGGUGCCAGGGACUCAUUGCCCAGUGCAGAAGUGGCUGUUGGAAGGACGGUGUCCUCUUGGGGUGGGCUGAGUGGCAGUCUCUGUGUGUCCCCAACAUAGCUCCUCCAUUCAGAACGGCAUCUGACCAACUGUGCCAUUUUACUGGACUCUUAACAGGAAAACCAUGUCUGUAAAGCCAAGACUUCCUACAAGGCCAUUACUGAAUCCACCACUAGCUUCUAAUCCUGCAAGCCUGCUCCUUCUGCAGAGGCCUCUCGAAUCUAGUGCUGCCCUACAGACAUCAUGCACGUUCAUUGCAGAGAUCAGAGUGAGGAGCACUGUGGGAAGUAGCCUUUAAAGAGACCAGAGGGUUCAUCUGAGGAAACACCUCAAUUUCACCAGGCAGCCCAGCUCUUAUGCUUUUUUGGGGAGGGAACCAGGCUUGAAUUCCUACUUCUAAGUUACAAGUUAAGUCCUCUGGCUGUGCAGGUAGGAUAGUAAUUUUGCCAAAUAGGUCAGCCUAUGCUCUCACUGCUGGGAAAAGGCAAGAGGGAGCACAGAUCUGCAAGGAAGAGUUAGUAAAACAUAUAUCCUUUACAAGCUGCUGGUCUUUAGGGCCCUGUUAACAAUCAUGUAACAGUUGUAACAGUGGCCAUGAUUGGUGGCUGACCUACUGCCCCAUGUCCACUGAUUCCAGACUCAAGAGACAGGCAGCCCAUGCUUCUGAAGGUCCCAUGGUUGCAGUGGUCUCUGCAGACCAGCUCUUACUGGUAUUAGCACAAUAAUUAAGGUACAUAGAGGAAAGAUUUAAACAAAUAAACUUUGCCUCUUGUUAGUAGAUCA